GCCUGGUCAAUACUGCUCUAAUGGAGUUCUACUGGCCGCCCCGAUGUCUAUUCUGGAGGUGAAGUUGGAAAAUCUGCCCACUGACGUUCCGCCUGACAUGCUGUUAAUGUUACAAGGAGCGUAUAACAAAAGACAAGUGAUCUCAAUGUCCCAGAACAGCAGCCUCAUGCAGACUCUUCGCUACUACAUCAACAAAA